rnacentral:lncRNA from 1 species
AACUUUGUCUAACAAGUUUCUGGGUUUUUCCCAGAAACGUAAAACAGGCGAGUGGUCUAGUUUGACCACCUAUUACGUUCGAUAUGUUGAUGUUAUAAGGUAUCUAAAGGCAUGUAACUAUAAUACAGACAACAGGCUACACAUAUAUUACUACAAAAACAACAAACUACGUAACACCCGACAAAUAUUGGCUUUGAAACAUGUUGUCA